AUUUUUCUCAGGCAGCAUGAGCUGCACUAAUUUUUCAACACCUUCAGAAUCUACAAGCCCUCCCUUUUCUGUAAAUUUAGCAAUCUCAGACUUCCAAACGCUUUCAGGCCUAGAGUGUCCAGAACCCCCAUCAUCAAUUUUUGAAUAACGCUCUCGUUUAACAGGCUCAGAGCCUUGAUCUCCUCGCUCCCUUUUCUUUCCCUUAACUUGAGAAGGAAAGGAUGAGGCACCAUUGUGUACAUUAUCUGACCCAGGUUUUAGCUGUGAUGUUGAUGUGGGACCAUUCACUGGCUUUGGAGAACGUCCCCCUGGUUGCACAGUUGCAUGCAUUUCUAUGCUUGUCUUAUAUAAUAGCUGAUCUACUUCUUCUUGCCGUUCCUGUGAAAAAGAAAAGAAAUAUCAACUACCACUAAGGAUGGGUAAAACCAUAAGAAGUGUGCCAAAUAGAUAGAUUAACAUGCAAAAAGUGCAAGCAAAACAUACAUUAAUAUAAUCUUGGUCAGUUAGCCACCAUAAACACUUGUUUGUAAUGUCGUAAACUCGCCGGCACACAAAAGAGCAAAUUCCUGAUGGAAGUUCAACACCUUUUGCAAGGAAUGCAACUUUACACGGAUGGAGCAAAGAUGCAGCAGGAAUCUCAUCCUUAUGAAAGGAAUAGAAUACUUCGUUUGGCGCAGCUUCCAAUAGGAUGCCUUUGCCAAGCUUUACUUCAGCAGGUCGAUAGAGCCAAUUAACACACAACUUGUUGUUCUCUUUACCAGUAGUCAGCCACCGAAUUAUUCCAAUGAAAGGUGGGGAAUCCCGGGGGGGUUUGAAAAGAGCACAAUCUCCAAUGCUGAUCUUGCGUCCGUCCUGUUAGAUAAAAGAAAACAGAGAACUUCAGUGAAAUGUUAUACACUUUAUCUGAAAAAAGACAGCUAAAUAAAAUUGCAUUUCUGAAUCAGUGAAUUUGGUCUUGCUGCCCAGGAAACAGCCUGGUUAGAACCAGACUUUGCAUCCAUUUCAGCCUCAACACGCUUCUUCCAUGUGUCGACCAGACUUCUAGCUUUCUUCUGAAUUUCCAAGUUCUUAUGUGUGCGCAGAUGGUUCACUGACUUGCCAAUGUUACACAUUUGUAAGGCGUGAAGAUUUACAGGGAGUUUAUCAAGUGCACGGAGUAAAACUAAAAGAAAUUCCUCUAUAGAUUUUUCACUAUCCUUGGAACCACUGCCAUCCCCAAUCUUCCCUUUAUGCACCUCCUGCAGCCAUUCGUCAAAUACAGGCAAGCCCCUAAGCUGCACAAAUCUAUUAAGGCAAUCAAACUUAUCUGUGCCCGCGACCACACCGGCCAGUACAGACCGACCAGCCAAGUCUAUCUUCUUUUCAUUUUUCUCAGGCAGCAUGAGCUGCACUAAUUUUUCAACACCUUCAGAAUCUACAAGCCCUCCCUUUUCUGUAAAUUUAGCAAUCUCAGACUUCCAAACGCUUUCAGGCCUAGAGUGUCCAGAACCCCCAUCAUCAAUUUUUGAAUAACGCUCUCGUUUAACAGGCUCAGAGCCUUGAUCUCCUCGCUCCCUUUUCUUUCCCUUAACUUGAGAAGGAAAGGAUGAGGCACCAUUGUGUACAUUAUCUGACCCAGGUUUUAGCUGUGAUGUUGAUGUGGGACCAUUCACUGGCUUUGGAGAACGUCCCCCUGGUUGCACAGUUGCAUGCAUUUCUAUGCUUGUCUUAUAUAAUAGCUGAUCUACUUCUUCUUGCCGUUCCUGUGAAAAAGAAAAGAAAUAUC
rnacentral:lncRNA from 1 species